CCCAGACUCCUACGGGAGGCAGCAGUGGGGAAUAUUGCACAAUGGGGGAAACCCUGAUGCAGCGACGCCGCGUGAGUGAAGAAGUAUUUCGGUAUGUAAAGCUCUAUCAGCAGGGAAGAAGAAGGACGGUACCUGACUAAGAAGCCCCGGCUAACUACGUGCCAGCAGCCGCGGUAAUACGUAGGGGGCGAGCGUUAUCCGGAUUUACUGGGUGUAAAGGGAGCGUAGACGGUUAAUCAAGUCUGAAGUGAAAGCCCGCGGCUCAACUGCGGAACGGCUUUGGAAACUGAGUAACUGGAGUGCUGGAGGGGCAGGCGGAAUUCCUGGUGUAGCGGUGAAAUGCGUAGAUAUCAGGAGGAACACCGGUGGCGAAGGCGGCCUGCUGGACAGUAACUGACGUUGAGGCUCGAAAGCGUGGGGAGCAAACAGGAUUAGAUACCCCCGUA
rnacentral:rRNA from 1 species